UUUGACCUCGGAUCAGGUAGGGAUACCCGCU
rnacentral:ncRNA from 4 species